GGAGAGAUGGCCGAGUGGUCGAAGGCGCGCCCCUGCUAAGGGCGUAUGGGGGCAAAACCUCCAUCGAGGGUUCGAAUCCCUCUCUCUCCGCCA
rnacentral:tRNA from 2 species